rnacentral:lncRNA from 1 species
AUGACUGAAUUGAGCAAGUCUUGGAGAAGCCUGGGUCGGAAGCACAGGCAGGAUCCACUGCCUGCAAAAGGGGGGGCACCCAGUGAUCACAAGGUGCAGGUGGGCCCUGGCAGGCAGGGCCCAAGAGCGAGGGGAGAUGGGAAGCACUUCCCUCACAGGAGCAGCCAGGAGGGUGGAACGCAAACAGCAAGUGACAGGAAGCUUGUGGUCCCCAAGGCAGCAAGCUCUUUCAGGGAGCUUGGCACCACCUCAGACUUCUCUUGGGCUGGGUAAGAUGUUGCAAAAAUACCUGGAGAAAGCUCAUGGGAGCCUCAUCAGAAAAUAAAAUCAAAAGAUCACAGGCCCUUGGACUAUGGGAAGAGGGGAGGAAGGGGAGAGGAGAAGGCAGAGGCUUGGCUGAGUCAGGCCUGCUGGGCUGGGUGUGGAGAGAGGAGUCAGGACUCAAAUGGCCACCAUGAAUCCUCCUCCACACCUGACUCAUUCUGGGACCUUCCCCAACUUACAGGGCCAUUGGAGCCCACCCCCCACCAUCUCCUCAGAUGUGCAAUGGAGAUCUUAUCCACUACAAAAAGUCUUUGUGAGGAUUAACAAGGGAAUAUAAGGCACUGAAAAAAAAGGGUAUUGUAUCUUAAUGAAAACAUAAAGAGUUUUUCACGGUUCCAUUGCUGGAUUCAUCAUGCUGGGACUCCCAUUCCUCUACAUCCCCGUAAAGGUAAUGGAAAAGACAGGAAAAGAGGAAGGGAAAUAACACACUUCACAUUAUGCCAAGUUUAUCAUGAACCAAUAUCCAGGAACAGUUAGAAAAGCAAGCAUGAAGCGAGUGAGCAAGUAAAAUCAACCACUCUGGAGGAAGAGAAACCUGCAGUGGGUCAAGAUGUCAUUCUUAGGCCUAUAGUCCAGUGAGGGUAAAGCCCAUUGUAUGGGGCUGCAAAACAUGCUGAACACUUGGUAUUUCUUCUUCAGACAGUAUCCCCAUCUCAACUGGCUUAGCACAGUCCCUGGCUAUAGAACCCAUUCCCUGCUGAGAUUCCAUACUUAAAACUUAAACAUCUUAAUUUUAGAAGACUCCCAAA